GACGAACGCUGGCUGCGUGCUUAACACAUGCAAGUCGAACGCUGAAGCCCUGGUGCUUGCACCGGGGUGGAUGAGUGGCGAACGGGUGAGUAACACGUGAGUAACCUGCCCUUCACUUCGGGAUAACCUCGGGAAAUCGUGGCUAAUACCGGAUAUGAACUCCUGCCGCAUGGUGGGGGUUGGAAAGAUUUAUCGGUGAAGGAUGGACUCGCGGCCUAUCAGUUUGUUGGUGAGGUAAUGGCUCACCAAGGCGAUGACGGGUAGCCGGCCUGAGAGGGCGACCGGCCACACUGGGACUGAGACACGGCCCAGACUCCUACGGGAGGCAGCAGUGGGGAAUAUUGCACAAUGGGGGAAACCCUGAUGCAGCGACGCCGCGUGAGGGAUGACGGCCUUCGGG
rnacentral:rRNA from 1 species